AUUCCGGAGAGGGAGCCUGAGAAACGGCUACCACAUCCAAGGAAGGCAGCAGGCGCGCAAAUUACCCACUCCCGGCACGGGGAGGUAGUGACGAAAAAUAACAAUACGGGACUCUUUUGAGGCCCCGUAAUUGAAAUGAGUACACUCUAAAUCCUUUAACGAGGAUCAAUUGGAGGGCAAGUCUGGUGCCAGCAGCCGCGGUAAUUCCAGCUCCAAUAGCGUAUACUAAAGCUGCUGCGGUUAAAAAGCUCGUAGUUGGAUCUCAGUUCCAGACGAGUAGUGCAUCUACCCGAUGCGACGGCUCGGACUGAACAUCAUGCCGGUUCUUUCUUGGUGCACUUCAUUGUGUGCCUCGAGAUGGCCGGUGCUUUUACUUUGAAAAAAUUAGAGUGCUCAACGCAGGCGAGUCGCCUGAAUAAACUUGCAUGGAAUAAUAGAACAAGACCUCGUUUCUGUUCUGUUGGUUUUUGGAAUACGAGGUAAUGAUUAAGAGGGACGGACGGGGGCAUUCGUAUUGCGGCGCUAGAGGUGAAAUUCUUGGACCGUCGCAAGACGAACUACUGCGAAAGCAUUUGCCAAGAAUGUUUUCAUUGAUCAAGAACGAAAGUCAGAGGUUCGAAGGCGAUCAGAUACCGCCCUAGUUCUGACCAUAAACGAUGCCAACCAGCGAUCCGCCUGAGUUACUCAAAUGACUCGGCGGGCAGCUUCCGGGAAACCAAAGUAUUUGGGUUCCGGGGGAAGUAUGGUUGCAAAGCUGAAACUUAAAGGAAUUGACGGAAGGGCACCACCAGGAGUGGAGCCUGCGGCUUAAUUUGACCCAACACGGGAAAACUUACCCGGCCCGGACACUGGGAGGAUUGACAGAUUGAGAGCUCUUUCUUGAUUCGGUGGAUGGUGGUGCAUGGCCGUUCUUAGUUGGUGGAGCGAUUUGUCUGGUUAAUUCCGAUAACGAACGAGACUCUAGCCUAUUAAAUAGGUGCGGGGUUCCCAGCACCUUACAACCUUCUUAGAGGGACAAGCGGCUCCUAGCCGCACGAAACAGAGCAAUAACAGGUCUGUGAUGCCCUUAGAUGUCCGGGGCCGCACGCGCGCUACACUGAAGGAAGCAGCGUGUCUUUAUCCCUGUCUGAAAAGACUGGGUAACCCGUGGAACUUCUUUCGUGAUUGGGAUAGGGGCUUGCAAUUGUUCCCCUUGAACGAGGAAUUCCCAGUAAGCGCGAGUCAUAAGCUCGCGUUGAUUACGUCCCUGC
rnacentral:rRNA from 1 species